rnacentral:rRNA from 1 species
UACGGAGGAUGCAAGCGUUAUCCGGAAUGAUUGGGCGUAAAGCGUCCGCAGGUGGCUAUGUAAGUCUGCUGUUAAAGAGCAAGGCUCAACCUUGUAAAGGCAGUGGAAACUACAUAGCUAGAGUGCGUUCGGGGCAGAGGGAAUUCCUGGUGUAGCGGUGAAAUGCGUAGAGAUCAGGAAGAACACCGGUGGCGAAAGCGCUCUGCUAGGCCGCAACUGACACUGAGGGACGAAAGCUAGGGGAGCGAAUGGG